UACGUAGGGUGCGAGCGUUAAUCGGAAUUACUGGGCGUAAAGCGUGCGCAGGCGGUUUUGUAAGCCAGAUGUGAAAGCCCCGGGCUUAACCUGGGAAUUGCAUUUGAGACUGCAUAGCUAGGGUGCGGAAGAGGGAAGCGGAAUUUCCGGUGUAGCGGUGAAAUGCGUAGAUAUCGGAAGGAACACCAGUGGCGAAAGCGGCUUCCUGGUCCAGCACCGACGUUCAGGCACGAAAGCGUGGGGAGCAAACAGG
rnacentral:rRNA from 1 species